rnacentral:rRNA from 1 species
UGCAAGUCGAGCGGGGAAAGGUAGCUUGCUACCUGACCUAGCGGCGGACGGGUGAGUAAUGCUUAGGAAUCUGCCUAUUAGUGGGGGACAACAUCUCGAAAGGGAUGCUAAUACCGCAUACGUCCUACGGGAGAAAGCAGGGGACCUUCGGGCCUUGCGCUAAUAGAUGAGCCUAAGUCGGAUUAGCUAGUUGGUGGGGUAAAGGCCUACCAAGGCGACGAUCUGUAGCGGGUCUGAGAGGAUGAUCCGCCACACUGGGACUGAGACACGGCCCAGACUCCUACGGGAGGCAGCAGUGGGGAAUAUUGGACAAUGGGGGGAACCCUGAUCCAGCCAUGCCGCGUGUGUGAAGAAGGCCUUUUGGUUGUAAAGCACUUUAAGCGAGGAGGAGGCUACCGAGAUUAAUACUCUUGGAUAGUGGACGUUACUCGCAGAAUAAGCACCGGCUAACUCUGUGCCAGCAGCCGCGGUAAUACAGAGGGUGCAAGCGUUAAUCGGAUUUACUGGGCGUAAAGCGCGCGUAGGUGGCCAAUUAAGUCAAAUGUGAAAUCCCCGAGCUUAACUUGGGAAUUGCAUUCGAUACUGGUUGGCUAGAGUAUGGGAGAGGAUGGUAGAAUUCCAGGUGUAGCGGUGAAAUGCGUAGAGAUCUGGAGGAAUACCGAUGGCGAAGGCAGCCAUCUGGCCUAAUACUGACACUGAGGUGCGAAAGCAUGGGGAGCAAACAGGAUUAGAUACCCUGGUAGUCCAUGCCGUAAACGAUGUCUACUAGCCGUUGGGGCCUUUGAGGCUUUAGUGGCGCAGCUAACGCGAUAAGUAGACCGCCUGGGGAGUACGGUCGCAAGACUAAAACUCAAAUGAAUUGACGGGGGCCCGCACAAGCGGUGGAGCAUGUGGUUUAAUUCGAUGCAACGCGAAGAACCUUACCUGGUCUUGACAUAGUAAGAACUUUCCAGAGAUGGAUUGGUGCCUUCGGGAACUUACAUACAGGUGCUGCAUGGCUGUCGUCAGCUCGUGUC